rnacentral:rRNA from 1 species
AUUGAACGCUGGCGGCAUGCCUUACACAUGCAAGUCGAACGGCAGCACGGGAGCAAUCCUGGUGGCGAGUGGCGAACGGGUGAGUAAUAUAUCGGAACGUGCCCAGUCGUGGGGAUAACGUAGCGAAAGCUACGCUAAUACCGCAUACGAUCUAUGGAUGAAAGCGGGGGAUCGCAAGACCUCGCGCGAUUGGAGCGGCCGAUAUCAGAUUAGGUAGUUGGUGAGGUAAAGGCUCGCCAAGCCGACGAUCUGUAGCUGGUCUGAGAGGACGACCAGCCACACUGGGACUGAGACACGGCCCAGACUCCUACGGGAGGCAGCAGUGGGAAUUUUUGGACAAUGGGCGCAAGCCUGAUCCAGCAAUGCCGCGUGCAGGAUGAAGGCCUUC